rnacentral:rRNA from 1 species
UACAGAGGGGGCAAGCGUUGUUCGGAAUUACUGGGCGUAAAGGGCGCGUAGGCGGCCCACUAAGUCGAACGUGAAAUCCCCGGGCUCAACCCGGGAACUGCGUCCGAUACUGACAGGCUUGAAUCCGGGAGAGGGAUGCGGAAUUCCAGGUGUAGCGGUGAAAUGCGUAGAUAUCUGGAGGAACACCGGUGGCGAAGGCGGCAUCCUGGACCGGCAUUGACGCUGAGGCGCGAAAGCCAGGGGAGCAAACAGG